rnacentral:rRNA from 1 species
AGAAUCAACGCUGGCGGCGUGCCUAACACAUGCAAGUCGCACGAGAAAGGGGAGCAAUCCCUGAGUAAAGUGGCGCACGGGUGAGUAACACGUGAAUGAUCUACCUCCGAGUGGGGAAUAACUGAGAGAAAUCUUAGCUAAUACCGCAUAACACUUACGAGUCAAAGCAGCAAUGCGCUUGGAGAGGAGUUCGCGGCCGAUUAGUUAGUUGGCGGGGUAAUGGCCCACCAAGACGAUGAUCGGUAU